rnacentral:ncRNA from 1 species
AGCUUUAUUCAAGGCGUAAAAGAAGAAAUAAGCAACUAUAUUAGAGAUGCAAACUCGUAUAAAAGCGUA